rnacentral:rRNA from 1 species
AGAGUUUGAUCUGGCUCAGAUUGAACGCUAGCGGGAUGCCUUACACAUGCAAGUCGAACGGCAGCACGGACUUCGGUCUGGUGGCGAGUGGCGAACGGGUGAGUAAUGUAUCGGAACGUGCCCAGUAGCGGGGGAUAACUACGCGAAAGCGUAGCUAAUACCGCAUACGCCCUACGGGGGAAAGCAGGGGAUCGCAAGACCUUGCACUAUUGGAGCGGCCGAUAUCGGAUUAGCUAGUUGGUGGGGUAACGGCUCACCAAGGCGACGAUCCGUAGCUGGUUUGAGAGGACGACCAGCCACACUGGGACUGAGACACGGCCCAGACUCCUACGGGAGGCAGCAGUGGGGAAUUUUGGACAAUGGGGGAAACCCUGAUCCAGCCAUCCCGCGUGUGCGAUGAAGGCCUUCGGGUUGUAAAGCACUUUUGGCAGGAAAGAAACGUCGUGGGUUAAUACCCCGCGAAACUGACGGUACCUGCAGAAUAAGCACCGGCUAACUACGUGCCAGCAGCCGCGGUAAUACGUAGGGUGCAAGCGUUAAUCGGAAUUACUGGGCGUAAAGCGUGCGCAGGCGGUUCGGAAAGAAAGAUGUGAAAUCCCAGAGCUUAACUUUGGAACUGCAUUUUUAACUACCGGGCUAGAGUGUGUCAGAGGGAGGUGGAAUUCCGCGUGUAGCAGUGAAAUGCGUAGAGAUGUGGAGGAACAC